GAGUUUGAACCUGGCUCAGGACGAACGCUGGCGGCGUGCCUAAUACAUGCAAGUCGAGCGAGCUUGCCUAGAUGAUUUUAGUGCUUGCACUAAAUGAAACUAGAUACAAGCGAGCGGCGGACGGGUGAGUAACACGUGGGUAACCUGCCCAAGAGACUGGGAUAACACCUGGAAACAGAUGCUAAUACCGGAUAACAACACUAGACGCAUGUCUAGAGUUUGAAAGAUGGUUCUGCUAUCACUCUUGGAUGGACCUGCGGUGCAUUAGCUAGUUGGUAAGGUAACGGCUUACCAAGGCAAUGAUGCAUAGCCGAGUUGAGAGACUGAUCGGCCACAUGGGGACUGAGACACGGCCCAAACUCCUACGGGAGGCAGCAGUAGGGAAUCCUCCACAAUGGACGAAAGUCUGAUGGAGCAACGCCGCGUGAGUGAAGAAGGGUUUCGGCUCGUAAAGCUCUGUUGGUAGUGAAGAAAGAUAGAGGUAGUAACUGGCCUUUAUUUGACGGUAAUUACUUAGAAAGUCACGGCUAACUACGUGCCAGCAGCCGCGGUAAUACGUAGGUGGCAAGCGUUGUCCGGAUUUAUUGGGCGUAAAGCGAGUGCAGGCGGUUCAAUAAGUCUGAUGUGAAGGCCUUCGGCUCAACCGGAGAAUUGCAUCAGAAACUGUUGAACUUGAGUGCAGAAGAGGAGAGUGGAACUCCAUGUGUAGCGGUGGAAUGCGUAGAUAUAUGG
rnacentral:rRNA from 1 species